AACGAACGCUGGCGGCAGGCCUAACACAUGCAAGUCGAACGCGCGUAGCAAUACGCGAGUGGCGCACGGGUGAGUAACACGUGGGAACCAACCCAGAGGUUCGGAAUAACCGCGGGAAACUGCGGCUAAUACCGGAUGUCCCCCAUGGGGAAGGAUUAUCGCCUCUGGACGGGCCCGCGUCCGAUUAGCUAGUUGGUGGAGGUAACGGCUCACCAAGGCUACGAUCGGUAGCUGGUCUGAGAGGAUGACCAGCCACACUGGAAC
rnacentral:rRNA from 1 species